GUCAUUUGAUCAGUAGACAGGCUAGAGUGCGUUCACACCACGCAGAUCUGCCAGUAAUUCAGAUGGACCUAUCCCAUUUCCGGAUAGUCGCCGUUUUGGGUGGAGUUAGUAACUCAAUCGUGGGAUGCCAAUGUUGUGUAACAAGUGCCUGGGUAAGGUUAGUGGGAGUUGCAGUCUACAAACAGUAGGGAGCUGGGUAUAUAAUGACCAGUACAACUUUAAAGGGUUAGUCUACGCUCCAUGACCACUUCAGUGAUUUGAUGUGGUUAUGGUGCUUAGAGUCUGUCUGUGCCAUGUUUUCGCUAUGAAAUGCUGCACGUAUAGAAAUUAACCUCUAUGUUCCAUAAAAUAAACUGUACGAUGUAAGCUGUAAAAAAAUCAAAAAAUUUUCAAAUAUAAUAUUGUCUAAUUUGACAAAAUAAUUUUUGGGAAUAUAGCAAAUUCAAGUUCUCAUUAUUAGUGUUACUAAUUAAAAUGCCCUCUAGAAAGGCCCAAGCAGGGCAUUGCAUGCAAAUGAUGCUUCUCUCCUCUCUAGUAAAAAUGGUUUUAUUUAAUGAAUUAGGACCAUAUGGCUUUCUAAUUAAACAUGGAGCACACGUAACCCAGUUUAGUUGACGAUGGUAAGUGGGUUUUAUAUAUACACAUCUGCUUUUAAAUUGUAUAAAACAUUUCUAUAAAUAGUGUUUACUGGCAAUAACACUGUAUAAAGCAUGAAAACCAGAACUAUGACAGGUCCCUUUAAUGGUGGAUAAUUGCAACCAAUUCAAUUUAUUCACAGAAACGUGUUCUUCUGUCUGAGUUAGUGUGACUUUGUAACGAGAUGAACACCUCUAUAACUAGCUGCACCUCAGAUGGAAAGAUGGCCUUUGUUUGCCGCGUGAUAUACUGCCAUUAUCAUUCACGAUGUUUAAAUCCUGCGUUUCUCCAUAAAGAACUGAAUACAUUAUCCCACGGUAAAAGUGAAUACAAAUGCUAAUUGCUUGAGAGAAGAAUUUAUUAAUGCAGCCAAAGUCACCCCAAUGUUCUCAUACCUGGUGAAGCCUCAAUUGCGUCUGACAGGACUAUUUAAACAUAAUGAUACAUCUGUCACAGUGUGUGCGAGCUGUGCGGGAACUGACAGCUUCACAUCCAGGCAGCGGCCGGGUGAGGGGGCGGCGGGAGAAAUGGCGCAAUGCAGCCAUAGAUCUCAGGGAAUCAAACAAAAGAGAGGUUGUAACCAACGGGGGAUCAGGAAU